ACUGUCUCGCCAGUUGUCAGCUGACUGGUAGUUGGCAAUACAGUAGUUGUACAUCAUGAUCGCGACGCUGAAGUUUACAACAUUAUUACUUGCGGUUGUUGUCUGCCGGGCAACGCAAGAUUAUGGUUAUAAAGAUGUCGAGGAGCCUACCCUGGGCGAUUCUCAGUAUGGAUCUCUCUGGCCGUUGCCUCAGAAAGUCCAAAUGUCAACGGUAGCAUUCAAACUCAGCAGUGUUAGUUUCCAGAUAGUUGACGCGAAAGAAUCGUCUUCCGGUGCGAGCUGCAGCCUUCUUCAAAAUGCAUAUCGAAGGUAUGACGAAUACAUAUUCCCCAUUUCCAGAAUGCAAGGGCAAAACAAAAAGAAGGCAUUUGCCUCUGUGUCUGAGUUACAGGUGUGGAUCACAUCAGCUGACUCUGAGUGUGACAGCUACCCAAGUGUGACAUCUGAUGAGUCAUACGAACUCUCGGUGGACUCUCCUGUUGCUGUGCUGAAAGCACCUAAGGUGUGGGGCGCCCUGAGAGGUCUGGAGACUUUUAGCCAGUUGGUGUAUGAGGAUGAAUAUGGAGCAAAAAGCAUCAAUAGGACAGAGAUCCAGGACUUUCCACGGUUUACACAUCGAGGCCUCUUAUUGGACAGCUCUCGUCACUUCCUGCCCAUCAAAGUCAUCUUAGCCAAUCUGGAAGCAAUGUCGUGGAACAAAUUCAAUGUGUUCCACUGGCAUAUAGUAGAUGACCCCUCCUUCCCCUACAUGAGCCGUACCUUCCCACAGCUGAGCCAGCAGGGAGCAUACCACCCGUACACGCACGUGUACACGCCCUCUGACGUGAAGAUGAUCAUUGAGUUUGCUCGCCUCAGGGGCAUUCGUGUCGUCUCUGAGUUUGACACCCCUGGACACACUCAGUCAUGGGGCAAAGGCCAGAAGGACCUACUGACACCCUGUUACUCUGGAGCCAGCCCCUCUGGCUCGUUUGGACCGGUCAACCCUAUCCUCAACACCACCUAUGACUUCAUGGCGAUGUUCUUCAAGGAGGUCAGCACAGUGUUCCCCGAUGCCUACAUCCAUCUAGGAGGAGACGAGGUUGACUUCAGCUGCUGGAAGUCCAACCCAGACAUCCAGAAGUUCAUGGCGCAGCAAGGCUUUGGGACGGACUACAGCAAGCUGGAGUCUUUCUACAUUCAGAGGCUCUUGGAUAUUGUCACCACUACCAACAAGGGCUACAUGAUCUGGCAGGAGGUGAUUGACAAUGGAGUUAAGCUGAAGGCAGACACGCUAAUCCACGUGUGGAAAGGCAACCAGCAGCAGUACCAGGCUGAGAUGGCAAGGGUCACAGCGUCAGGCUACCAGGCCCUGCUCUCCACACCCUGGUACCUGAACCGCAUCUCCUACGGCCAAGACUGGCAGGCCGCUUACAGGGCAGACCCACAGGACUUUAAUGGCACAGAUGCUCAGAAGAAGCUGGUAGUCGGCGGAGAGGCCUGUCUGUGGGGGGAAUACGUGGACGCUACCAACCUGACCCCCAGACUUUGGUACGCUGCAGACAAACCCAAAUAUGUUUCUCUCCUAUCCCCAGGCCCCGUGCCAGUGCUGUGGGGGAGCGGUUGUGGAGUGACAAGGAUGUGAAAGACACAAACGAUGCUUAUAGUCGUCUGAUCCAGCACCGCUGUCGCAUGGUCCAGCGUGGUAUACCAGCUGAGCCUUUGUUUACAGGUUACUGUGCACAUGAGUACAAAGGGGUAUGAGCUGACAGCCACUGUGGGGCGACAACCUGAGAAGCAGCGUUAACCGCAAUGAGAGAGAAAUAAUCUCACAAAUCAAACUUGAUUGUCUUCAAGACUUUAUUGAUGCACUGAUAUGAGCCAAAUUCUGCCUUUUUAAUUUUUUUCAGAACAAUCCUCAUUCCAUGCAAUGUCACAAAUUGAUUGUGUAGGAACACCUUUUUAUAUUAAUGUUUAUGAAUUAAAAGAAACUUUUGCAAAGUU